GUUUUCUCCAGAUUGACAGAA
rnacentral:miRNA from 1 species